UACGUAGGUGGCAAGCGUUGUCCGGAUUUACUGGGCGUAAAGAGCGCGCAGGCGGUCGUUCAAGUCGCGUGUGAAAGCCCCCGGCUCAACUGAGGAAGUGCACCCGAAACUGAGUGGCUAGAGUACGAAAGAGGGUCGCGGAAUUCCCGGUGUAGAGGUGAAAUUCGUAGAUAUCGGGAGGAACGCCGGUGGCGAAAGCGGCACGCUGGACCUUUCUAACGCUGAGGCGCGAAAGCCAGGGGAGCAAACGGG
rnacentral:rRNA from 1 species